CGCCUGACUUAAUUUGUUUUGCUAAAAAGGACGCAUUUGUAUGGGUAUGAUUCAUUAGCUAGUUUAGUCAUAACUAAAUAUAAAGCAAAGAACAUGUCACCUAGAUAGAUUUGGGAAAUGACUGAAAACGUUCUUGCUAGCUAGCGUAAUAUUAGUAACGAGGGAACUGACACUCAAACCCUUCUCCGUAUGUAGUUAGUUAACUACGGUUUUCAGUGGUUACAAACGCCCACUGUUGCCUCCAUGUGAACUACAAUUUCAACGCUGUGUUAACGUUUUAGAAACGUAAAAUGCUUUCAGUCGGAUUUACGAAACAUUGAUGUGCCCCUCUAAUGCCCCGUAUUUACUGUAGCAGUUUUGCACGGAUCCACAAGCGGUGUUCCUCCAGUUGAAAAAUUACACUACCUCCCGUGUUACGAUUGGCUAAUUAACAGUACACACAGGUGUUCGGAGCAGGCUAGAUGGCACAGGUGGCCUCCUGUCUACUGUAAAAAAGCGAUGCAACAUGGAUAAAUGACCUGUGCGGGGAUGAUUAUAAAACAUGAUGGGUGAACUGCAUCCAACACGUAAACCAGAGCAUCUUGGUUCAUACAUUUUUCUCUGAAGUGUAUAUAUUUGGGACUCGGACAUGGCUGAGCGAAGUGAAGAAGAGAGAGUGAACGACAGCAGUGGAGAAUCAAGCAGGUAACAAAGCCUUUAUCGACUCAUUGAGACCAUGCAACUCCUGUGCACAUCUUUGUGUCAACCAAUUCAACAUUUCCAUCAUCCUGUAAAAGCUGUGAUGUCACUUGUCUUUUUAAAACCUGUGGAUAUUUGUUUCAAAGUUCACAGAAUUCGAUGCAAGAAAAUUGCAUAAAUUGUAUAAGCACGCAAUCAAGAAAAGACAAGAGAAUGCUCAGGUAUGUAUAACACUGGCCGUUGCCAAAUGAGCUACUGUUUUUGUGCAUCAAUUGACCACAUAAAGGUCUGCUAAAUAAUAAUGUGAUACAAAUUCAGAUUGCAUUUCCUAUCUUUCCAAGUUCAGUUUUAAGGGCAGUGGUUUGAGGCUUCUCUUUUACAGGCAGCUGACCAGAACACUAGCACUGUAAAUACCCACGGCUUUAAACACACAGACAUCGAGAGGCUAAAGGACAACUCGCACCACGAAGACAGCAGCAGGGACUGCUACAGCUCUGAGCUGCACCUCUCUUCAUCACGCUACCACAAGCACAGCGGCAGCAAGGACAGUGACAACGGGUCAGGCAUACCUCCACAGACCCCUGCCGCAGGAAGGGCGGGAGCGGGGAGGACUCCAGGAAGAGAGCCUACUCAUCCUUCAGCAACGGCAAAGACCACCGAGACCACUACCGGUCAGACCGGUGGGACAGCAGAUACUACAACGACACUAAGCACAGGAAGGUGGAUGAUACAGGUCAGGCCGAGACAGACGGAUGGACAGCAAGGAGCGCUCCCACUCAGACCAACACUCGCAUUCCAAACACCGCUCGUGCUCAGAACACAAGUCAUCGUCACGAGGCGACUCCUACCACUCAGACUGGCAGAUAGACCACCGGGCAUCGGCCAGCGGGCCCCGUUCACCUCGCGACCAGUGCUCAUCCUACGACGGACGCUCGCCACUGGGCCACCGUUUGUACUCAUCGGACCACAAGAGCACGCCGGAGCAGAUCUGGAGCAGCCGAAAGACUUAACAGCCAGCUUCGGCCUGGUCCAGAGGAGCUGGCCUAGUGGCGAUAUUAUCAGCCAUAGACACACGUUGGACACAGGAAAUGCCUUAUGGGGACUGUGGAAGAAAACAAAGCUGUACUAUGCACUGUGUAUCUGUGGGCUCAGCUUUCCUGUGGUGCCCACACUCCAAUAGUGCACCACAUCCCAGGAACGAUAGGGAUGGGAUUAGGAUGGCAGAGAAAUUUUAUAUUUUGGUAUUUAAGAGUUGAAUGCUGCACUGUGCUAUAGGUGUCACAGUAUAGUUUAUUUUCUUAUUUUUUAUAAAAUGGACGGCUUUGUUUUUUUACUCAAAUGGACACAAAUACCCUCAAGUGCUGUCCCCACAUCAACCAAACCACAACACUGGAUCCUGCUAUUGACAGUUUUCUUCCCCCCUCACGCUUAAUGUGGUUCUCAAGCUUAUUUAAAGAAGUGUUAAAUCAAGAGGUAAAGUAACAUGUAGGUUAUCUCAUAAUCAUGCUAAGAGUGGAUGUUAGGGUCUCAUCAUUUACAGUGUUUCUUGUGCCCACCCUGCCAAUCAUUUUAGUUUUUUUUUCAUGCUUGAAUUAUUUAAUUUCUGUCUGCUGUAAAAUAACCUGGAUUUUUGGUGGGGAUCAGCUGAAAAUGUCCCUUUUUCACAAAUUAUACUACUGUAAAAUAUAGGAAAAUAGUAAAUCAAUAUGCUUUUUCCUCUCAGGCUUUCUGGGGUUUGUUAUUACAACUCUACCUUUUCUAACCCCAUUUUUGUCUGUUUUAAAAUAACUCAGUUUUUGUACGACAGUUACUUUUAAUGAUUAAUGCUAUUCAGAAUGCAGCUUUGGCAAACUGGGGAAAUUAUUCCAUGAGUCUAUUAUUCCUCUAGAGGGCCUUCUUAGUUUUUCUGUUUCUCUUGUGUUAAUUCUCUGUUGUGAAUACGUGUCAGAAUCGACGAGGUGAAAGCGCUCACGUUUUACUACAAUGUCAUGGAAAACCAGGAAGAGGGGUCUAUCAAAUAAAAGUGCCGGUUAGAUCUCAAAUAAACUUGUUAUUUUUUUAACGUAGGCGACAAUGUCAAAAAGUCUAUGCAGCCAAGUGAACAGCCCAAGUGAAGAUGCUGUUACAGUUCACACUGUUGUACAUAGAUUUCCUCUAUAUUUAAAAAAUGUAUUUACACUGAAAAUGCAUGGGUUUUUAAGAUAAUUGUUUUAUAUAGUUUAUAAAGUAAUUAAACUCAAUCACUGUGCUCACUUGUAAUCUGGAGUGGUUUACAUGGUCUUCCUGUUGGUGCGUAUGUCGCAGUACUAGAAUUCUGGAGCAGAAUAUCCCUCAGGUAACAAAGAGUUGUCGCCAGGUUUUACCACGGAGUAACCUAUGACCCAGAAUCCAUCUCUUCCUCAACCCUUUGAGUAAAUAGGCCAGGGAAGCAUAAAAGCUGUGGUUACCGUAACACUAGGAGGCAUGGCUGUAGGUUUUAAAUGAACUGAACAAAAAUGUAAAGUGUUUGUCCCAUGUUUCAUGAGCUGAAAUAAAAAAGAUCCCAGAAAUGUUC